rnacentral:rRNA from 1 species
UGGGGAAUUUUGGACAAUGGGCGCAAGCCUGAUCCAGCAAUGCCGCGUGCAGGACGAAGGCCUUCGGGUUGUAAACUGCUUUUGUACGGAACGAAACGGUCUCUCCUAAUACGAGAGGCUAAUGACGGUACCGUAAGAAUAAGCACCGGCUAACUACGUGCCAGCAGCCGCGGUAAUACGUAGGGUGCAAGCGUUAAUCGGAAUUACUGGGCGUAAAGCGUGCGCAGGCGGUUAUAUAAGACAGAUGUGA